UACAGAGGUGUCAAGCGUUGCUCGGUAUCACUGGGCUUAAAGGGCGCGUAGGCUGUGCGGUACGGUUCGGGUGAAAUCCCUCGGCUCAACCGAGGAACUGCCCGGGCGACGGCCGCGCUGGACUGCAUUAGGGGACGAUGGAACUCCCGGUGGAGCGGUUGAAAUGCGUAGAUAUCGGGAGGAACACCAAUGGCGAAGGCAGCUCGCUGGGACGGUACUGACGCUGAGACGCGAAAGCGUGGGGAGCAAACAGG
rnacentral:rRNA from 1 species